GUCUACAAAGUGAGCUCCAGGACAGCCAGGGCUAUACAGAGAAACAGCAACAAAAACCUAUACAAAUUGUUCUUGCAUGUUACAGAGUGGACAGAGAAAAGUGUGACUAGUUUUAACAUUGAUCUUAAGUUCCCCAGAUGAGUGGUUUCUUAUGUCUGAAAUGUUAGGACUUUAGGCAUAAGCUGGGUUCUGUUACACCUCCUCAGAUAUGUGUUAGUGCCAUAUUCAGAUAUUUCAUUGAAGUAACUUAUUCUGCCAUUUUCAUCGAAGAUAAGUUUAUCUGGAUUUAUAGUUUAUAAACCAAUGUGUUGAUUGAGGGUUUUCUUUUUCAGUUUUAAGUUUCUCAGAAUUCUAGGUGUAAUAUAUGUUAUGACAGUGUAUAAGACUUUGGGGAAAGUUGUCAGAGAGUGGAAGGUUUAGGAAUAAUACGUAGUAGAUGGGUGUGAGAACUAGAAUUCAAUAUCUUUGGAAGGCUACUCUUUGCAAAGACAUUUUUCAAACCUUAGUCUUUGCCCACUAUCAGUGUCUUUCCUAUAUGCUGCUGUGUCGGAUGAGAUCUAUAUAGGAAAUGCAGCUGACAUACUGUGAUGGAACUGUGUUGAGCACAUCAGAACUCAUGUCAUGCUAACCAGGUCACCGUCACAGUCGGGAGGACCGCAAUGUUAGCCAUGGUAGUGAGGAGUACCACAUUGCUCUGCCAGCAUCAGCUGCUGACAGACACUUCAGAAUCUUUGUCAUCUUAAAGUAGGCAAGGAUGCUUUGUCACUGAGUUGGGGGUAUUAUCUAGGUUAAGGUAUUUUCUCUAUUGUGAAAGAAUCUACUUAUGAAAAUAGAGGAAAAUUGUAGACGCUUGUUUCUUUCAAAUGCCAAAUUUCUCCUUUGGGUGAGGGAGAAAACCCUAGAGCUUCAUGCAUGCAAGAAAAACACUGUACUGUUAAACUCUAUACCCCCAGCCCAAAGAUUAUUUCAUUUUAAUCAAAGUAGUCCACUUAGCCAUAAAUCACCUUUUGCUGUCUUUGUGCUGAUGUUAUAAACCCUUAAAAGUCAUAUGUCUUGUAAAACAGCCCCAUGAGAGGACUGUUCUUUCCCCUCACUGUGGUGACGACAGCAUAGACUUGGAAGCGUUCUCUCAACUGCUGGUGAUUGCUUCACUGUCUCAUUCCUUAAGGACAGGCCACUCACUCUUACAUCACUGUGCCUGUGAGCUACUCAGCAUCACUGUUUUGCCUCUUUAAAUCUGUCUUUGUUCUGUAUUACAGAUAGCUAAAGUUGUUAGAAGCCUGUGAUGCCUGUGUGAAUGUAGUACAGUCUCGGUGUAUUUAUGUCAGUGGUUGUACCCCUGCCCCCAUGCCCUGUGUUAGUUGUAAUCACGUAGUAUAAACAAUUUCUAGGUUUUUCGUGCCAUUUAGUACUCCACUGAGAAAGAGCAGUGUGGUUUUAGUUACUUCUAUUCUGCAGUAUGGAAUUUAACAAAGUUUGUCAUUUAACAAAGAACUUGAGUACCUGAUCUCUUGACUAGAGCUAAAGAAAGGACAUGGAUUAUUAUUAGAGCCCUUUAGGAGAUGUGAAUACAGGCUAGUUGUUCAGAAAUGUGCUGGGCUCUUGAAGAAGACCAUAUUCCACACACCGAUUAUGAACUCCAUGGUUAUCUCCCAGCAGUUAGUAUGCAUCAUUGGCCGUAGAAAGCAGCUGAGAUUAAGACAGGGUGAUUUUUAAAUGAGGAAGAAACAUUUCUGAAACAGCAGCAAGUGGAUGUCAUACUCUCUUCUCCAUGUUGCCUUGGCUUGUGGAAGAACUAACUACCUUUGAAGAUGAAAAUAGGAAAUCAAACAUAAUGCUAAUGAGAACAUGAGGGAAGAAAGUAGAACAUUAGAAAAAGAGUAUACUAGUAAUUCAUUUAUCUGGAUUUACCAGAAUAUGGCUGUAUUAUGGGGAAAUUGUUUUCUAUAGAACUGAACCUUUAAAAAGAUUCUGAUGCUGAGAAAAAUCAUCUCUUAGAAACUAUCACCACAUCUUUAAAUCCAGGAAGCAUGCAAGGACCUUUCUAAAACUAUCAGUCACAGGCUAAUGAGAUGGCUCAGUGGGUAAAGGCACUUGCCGCCAAGUCUGACUGUCUUGAGUUUGAUUCAGGACACACAUGGUAGAAGGAGGGAACUGCCACCUGCAAGUUGUUCUCUGUCACACGCAUAUGCACUGCACUCACACUCACAUAAGGCCAGUGUGCUGAAUAUGAGUUGUGUUCCAUUCUUUUGACACAGUGAGUUUCAUAUUCUGCCACUGUUAAAGCUUGCCACUUAAACAUGAAAUUUGCUAAUUAGUAAAAUGUAGCAGAGACUGAAGAGAUUGUGACUAUGAGGGACUAGUUCCGCAUAGUGUGGUCACAUGACUCUUAACUCUGCGUGGCCUUGCUAUACCUUUGGGGUUGGUUCCUUUAGAGAAGGAAGAAAAUCUCAUAACCGACCUGAGAGGUUUUAAAUCAGUGCCUCUCAACGUUCCUAAUGCUGUGACCCUUAAUACAGUUCCUCGUGUGUAGUGACCCCCGUACCAUAAAAUUAUUUCAUAACUGUAAUUUUGCUACUGUUAUGAAUUAUAAUGCAGAUAUCUGAUAUGCAGGAUAUCUGAUACAUUAGUUACCCCUGUAAAGGAUUGUUUGACCCCCAAAGAGGUCAUUACCCACAGGUUGAUUCUAAAUCAUUUCCUCUGAAUUCUCUUGAGUUUGAGUGGCUUAAAUGUUGAUAAAAGUUUAUGUUAAGUUAAGGUAUUAAAUAUCCGUAGUCUGUUAGAUUAAAAUGCUAACAGCUGUGUUUGUCUUUUGGGAAGAACCUUUUCUAAUGGAGGAGUGUCAGUGAUCCUGGAGGGAGUUCUUGCAAUUGAAGAAGCAGAAUUUAGCCUUUACUUAGCACAAAGACAUGUGUUAUGAGGGCCAUCCUCAUUCCUGACAUCUCUCCCGCUAUCUGCGUGAGUGCGUGCGUGCAAAACUCUACAUGUGACACUACCUAGGACAAAUUUAUCUCAAACAAAAAAACACAAAAUGAACUAUAAGAUUAGGGAUAUAGAAUUGCUAGGGAAUUCCAUUUGAUACCAGUUUUUCUUUCUGUAAAUUUAGUUUAACACGAUUAAUCAAAUAUAAAAUGAGUUGGAUAUUUAAAUUAUUGCUAAUUUGUUCACUUGGUAAUAGGAGAGCCUGACUGUUGGGUCUUUAUUUAAAAUGUCCUGUUUCUGCUGAAGUAGCAGGGCAAGAAGAAACUAAAGCUCCCAGAGCUGCUUGGCUCUCCUAGAGUUGGGCUUGGAGGAGCAUACCUGUAAUUCCAGUUUUGGGGACCAUGACUCUGGCCUGUAGAGUCAGAGUCUUUCUUCAAAACAAAAUCCCC
rnacentral:lncRNA from 1 species